UGCGUAGGCGGCUUUCCAGGUCUGGUGUGAAAUCUUACGGCUCAACCGUAAAAUUGCGCUGGAAACCGGAAAGCUUGAGUGUGCUAGGGGUGUGUGGAACUUCCAGUGGAGCGGUGAAAUGUGUUGAUAUUGGAAGGAACGCCGGUGGCGAAAGCGACACACUGGGGCAUAACUGACGCUGAGGCACGAAAGCUAGGGUAGCGAACG
rnacentral:rRNA from 1 species